GGUUAAGCGACUAAGCGUACACGGUGGAUGCCCUGGCAGUCAGAGGCGAUGAAGGACGUGCUAAUCUGCGAUAAGCGUCGGUAAGGUGAUAUGAACCGUUAUAACCGGCGAUUUCCGAAUGGGGAAACCCAGUGUGUUUCGACACACUAUCAUUAACUGAAUCCAUAGGUUAAUGAGGCGAACCGGGGGAACUGAAACAUCUAAGUACCCCGAGGAAAAGAAAUCAACCGAGAUUCCCCCAGUAGCGGCGAGCGAACGGGGAGCAGCCCAGAGCCUGAAUCAGUGUGUGUGUUAGUGGAAGCGUCUGGAAAGGCGCGCGAUACAGGGUGACAGCCCCGUACACAAAAAUGCACAUGCUGUGAGCUCGAUGAGUAGGGCGGGACACGUGGUAUCCUGUCUGAAUAUGGGGGGACCAUCCUCCAAGGCUAAAUACUCCUGACUGACCGAUAGUGAACCAGUACCGUGAGGGAAAGGCGAAAAGAACCCCGGCGAGGGGAGUGAAAAAGAACCUGAAACCGUGUACGUACAAGCAGUGGGAGCACAGAGCAAUCUGUGUGACUGCGUACCUUUUGUAUAAUGGGUCAGCGACUUAUAUUCUGUAGCAAGGUUAACCGAAUAGGGGAGCCGAAGGGAAACCGAGUCUUAACUGGGCGUUAAGUUGCAGGGUAUAGACCCGAAACCCGGUGAUCUAGCCAUGGGCAGGUUGAAGGUUGGGUAACACUAACUGGAGGACCGAACCGACUAAUGUUGAAAAAUUAGCGGAUGACUUGUGGCUGGGGGUGAAAGGCCAAUCAAACCGGGAGAUAGCUGGUUCUCCCCGAAAGCUAUUUAGGUAGCGCCUCGUGAAUUCAUCUCCGGGGGUAGAGCACUGUUUCGGCAAGGGGGUCAUCCCGACUUACCAACCCGAUGCAAACUGCGAAUACCGGAGAAUGUUAUCACGGGAGACACACGGCGGGUGCUAACGUCCGUCGUGAAGAGGGAAACAACCCAGACCGCCAGCUAAGGUCCCAAAGUCAUGGUUAAGUGGGAAACGAUGUGGGAAGGCCCAGACAGCCAGGAUGUUGGCUUAGAAGCAGCCAUCAUUUAAAGAAAGCGUAAUAGCUCACUGGUCGAGUCGGCCUGCGCGGAAGAUGUAACGGGGCUAAACCAUGCACCGAAGCUGCGGCAGCGACGCUUAUGCGUUGUUGGGUAGGGGAGCGUUCUGUAAGCCUGUGAAGGUGUGCUGUGAGGCAUGCUGGAGGUAUCAGAAGUGCGAAUGCUGACAUAAGUAACGAUAAAGCGGGUGAAAAGCCCGCUCGCCGGAAGACCAAGGGUUCCUGUCCAACGUUAAUCGGGGCAGGGUGAGUCGACCCCUAAGGCGAGGCCGAAAGGCGUAGUCGAUGGGAAACAGGUUAAUAUUCCUGUACUUGGUGUUACUGCGAAGGGGGGACGGAGAAGGCUAUGUUGGCCGGGCGACGGUUGUCCCGGUUUAAGCGUGUAGGCUGGUUUUCCAGGCAAAUCCGGAAAAUCAAGGCUGAGGCGUGAUGACGAGGCACUACGGUGCUGAAGCAACAAAUGCCCUGCUUCCAGGAAAAGCCUCUAAGCAUCAGGUAACAUCAAAUCGUACCCCAAACCGACACAGGUGGUCAGGUAGAGAAUACCAAGGCGCUUGAGAGAACUCGGGUGAAGGAACUAGGCAAAAUGGUGCCGUAACUUCGGGAGAAGGCACGCUGAUAUGUAGGUGAGGUCCCUCGCGGAUGGAGCUGAAAUCAGUCGAAGAUACCAGCUGGCUGCAACUGUUUAUUAAAAACACAGCACUGUGCAAACACGAAAGUGGACGUAUACGGUGUGACGCCUGCCCGGUGCCGGAAGGUUAAUUGAUGGGGUUAGCGGUAACGCGAAGCUCUUGAUCGAAGCCCCGGUAAACGGCGGCCGUAACUAUAACGGUCCUAAGGUAGCGAAAUUCCUUGUCGGGUAAGUUCCGACCUGCACGAAUGGCGUAAUGAUGGCCAGGCUGUCUCCACCCGAGACUCAGUGAAAUUGAACUCGCUGUGAAGAUGCAGUGUACCCGCGGCAAGACGGAAAGACCCCGUGAACCUUUACUAUAGCUUGACACUGAACAUUGAGCCUUGAUGUGUAGGAUAGGUGGGAGGCUUUGAAGUGUGGACGCCAGUCUGCAUGGAGCCGGCCUUGAAAUACCACCCUUUAAUGUUUGAUGUUCUAACGUUGGCCCCUGAUCGGGGUUGCGGACAGUGUCUGGUGGGUAGUUUGACUGGGGCGGUCUCCUCCUAAAGAGUAACGGAGGAGCACGAAGGUUGGCUAAUCCUGGUCGGACAUCAGGAGGUUAGUGCAAUGGCAUAAGCCAGCUUGACUGCGAGCGUGACGGCGCGAGCAGGUGCGAAAGCAGGUCAUAGUGAUCCGGUGGUUCUGAAUGGAAGGGCCAUCGCUCAACGGAUAAAAGGUACUCCGGGGAUAACAGGCUGAUACCGCCCAAGAGUUCAUAUCGACGGCGGUGUUUGGCACCUCGAUGUCGGCUCAUCACAUCCUGGGGCUGAAGUAGGUCCCAAGGGUAUGGCUGUUCGCCAUUUAAAGUGGUACGCGAGCUGGGUUUAGAACGUCGUGAGACAGUUCGGUCCCUAUCUGCCGUGGGCGCUGGAGAACUGAGGGGGCUGCUCCUAGUACGAGAGGACCGGAGUGGACGCAUCACUGGUGUUCGGGUUGUCAUGCCAAUGGCACUGCCCGGUAGCUAAAUGCGGAAGAGAUAAGUGCUGAAAGCAUCUAAGCACGAAACUUGCCCCGAGAUGAGUUCUCCCUGACUCCUUGAGAGUCCUGAAGGAACGUUGAAGACGACGACGUUGAUAGGCCGGGUGUGUAAGCGCAGCGAUGCGUUGAGCUAACCGGUACUAAUGAACCGUGAGGCUUAACCUU
rnacentral:rRNA from 1 species